CCUACGGGAGGCAGCAGUGAGGAAUAUUGGUCAAUGGACGAGAGUCUGAACCAGCCAAGUAGCGUGAAGGAUGACUGCCCUAUGGGUUGUAAACUUCUUUUAUAAAGGAAUAAAACGAGGCACGUGUGCCUUUUUGCAUGUACUUUAUGAAUAAGGAUCGGCUAACUCCGUGCAAGCAGCCGCGGUAAUACGGAGGAUCCGAGCGUUAUCCGGAUUUAUUGGGUUUAAAGGGAGCGUAGAUGGGUUGUUAAGUCAGUUGUGAAAGUUUGCGGCUCAACCGUGAAAUUGCAAUUGAUACUGGCCGUCUUGAGUACAGUUGAGGUAGGCGGAAUUCGUGGUGUAGCGGUGAAAUGCUUAGAUAUCACGAAGAACCCCGAUUGCGAAGGCAGCUUACUAAACUGUGACUGACAUUGAUGCUCGAAAGUGUGGGUAUCAAACAGGAUUAGAUACCCGGGUAGUC
rnacentral:rRNA from 1 species